UACGUAGGGUGCAAGCGUUAAUCGGAAUUACUGGGCGUAAAGCGUGCGCAGGCGGUUGUGUAAGUCAGAUGUGAAAUCCCCGGGCUCAACCUGGGAACUGCAUUUGUGACUGCACGGCUCGAGUGCGGCAGAGGGGGAUGGAAUUCCGCGUGUAGCAGUGAAAUGCGUAGAUAUGCGGAGGAACACCGAUGGCGAAGGCAAUCCCCUGGGCCUGCACUGACGCUCAUGCACGAAAGCGUGGGGAGCAAACAGG
rnacentral:rRNA from 1 species